rnacentral:rRNA from 1 species
UACGUAGGGACCGAGCGUUGUCCGGAUUCAUUGGGCGUAAAGGGUGCGUAGGUGGUGAGGUAAGUCGGAUGUGAAAGCUCGGAGCUCAACUCCGAAAUGGCAUUGGAAACUACCUUGCUCGAGGGUUGGAGGGGGGACUGGAAUUCCUGGUGUAGCGGUGAAAUGCGCAGAUAUCAGGAGGAACACCGAUGGCGAAGGCAGGUCUCUGGGCAUUAACUGACGCUGAGGAGCGAAAAGCAUGGGGAGCGAACAGG